GCAUGGCUGUCGUCAGCUCGUGUUGUGAAAUGUUGGGUUAAGUCCCGCAACGAGCGCAACCCUUAUCCUUUGUUGCCAGCGGUCCGGCCGGGAACUCAAAGGAGACUGCCAGUGAUAAACUGGAGGAAGGUGGGGACGACGUCAAGUCAUCAUGGCCCUUACGACCAGGGCUACACACGUGCUACAAUGGCGCAUACAAAGAGAAGCGACCUCGCGAGAGCAAGCGGACCUCAUAAAGUGCGUCGUAGUCCGGAUUGGAGUCUGCAACUCGACUCCAUGAAGUCGGAAUCGCUAGUAAUCGUGGAUCAGAAUGCCACGGUGAAUACGUUCCCGGGCCUUGUACACACCGCCCGUCACACCAUGGGAGUGGGUUGCAAA
rnacentral:rRNA from 1 species